CGUUAUGGUGGCUGUAUGCGGGAGACCCUCGUGGUCUACCCGGGUGCCUUUGACCGGUUCGCUAACCCGCGUACAGCCGCCACCCUU
rnacentral:antisense_RNA from 1 species